UUCACUUCCGGCUAAUUUUGCUUGCCAGUUCAGUUGCUUUGUUUGCUCAUUUCUACCGUUUAGUGUGAUUCUUUUUUAAAUAGUAGAAAUGUUAUCAAGAUCAGUAAGAGCAGAAACUCGUAGCAGGGCCAAAGAAGAUAUAAAAAGAGUAAUAACUGCAAUAGAUAAAGUCAGGAAAUGGGAGAAAAGAUGGGUUACAAUCGGUGACACGACAAUGAGGAUAUAUAAAUGGGUUCCAGUUUCUGCAUCUGAACCAUUACCACCUAAUGCUGUGAGGAAAAGUUUGAAAGUAAGAUCAAACAUAAAGAAGAAAACAAGAUCCACACAUGACACUGAGGCAUCUCAAGGAAGUGAUAUCAGUAAGGUCCAUGUGAACGAAAACAGUUCAUCCCAGCAAGUUUACACUGAUGAAAAUACACAGCAGUCUCAGCCAGACUCUCUCUGCAGUGAUCAAGUGAGCAAUAUGAAUGAAGAUUCCUACCAGUCAUUUCCUGACAACAGUAACACAGGGUUCUCCCAGUCUCAGGACACAGACAGCAAUCAAACCGACAUGAGGAUUGCCAUGAGAAUGAUCAAAGAUGAUAGGAAGAAAAUUUCAGAGGAUACAAAUGAUUCAGAGCCACCCAUGCUAGAGAGAGAACAAGAUGAUCCACCCACCAAAAAAUUAAAAACAGAUACUUGAUGCAAGUGAUAUUUUUUGUAAAGUUCAUAUCCAUGUGUUUGAUGUUGGUACAUGUAAUAUUCAUAUUGUCAUACAACAUUUUUAUAGACCCUGUUGUGAGUGAAAGGGAAAUUUCAAGGGGAAAUAAUUCAAUGUUUUAACUCAAAUUAAAGGAAGGAGUCAUUAUGCAAAGUUCCUAGAAAAUGUGUUCAAAAUAAAAGUGAAUAUUUGUGA